rnacentral:rRNA from 1 species
ACGAACGCUGGCGGCAGGUCCUAACACAUGCAAGUCGAGCGCGCCCUUCGGGGUGAGCGGCGGACGGGUUAGUAACGCGUGGGAACGUGCCCAGAUCUAAGGAAUAGCCACCGGAAACGGUGAGUAAUACCUUAUACGCCCUUCGGGGGAAAGAUUUAUCGGAUUUGGAUCGGCCCGCGUUAGAUUAGGUAGUUGGUGGGGUAAUGGCCUACCAAGCCUACGAUCUAUAGCUGGUUUUAGAGGAUGAUCAGCAACACUGGGACUGAGACACGGCCCAGACUCCUACGGGAGGCAGCAGUGGGGAAUCUUGGACAAUGGGGGCAACCCUGAUCCAGCCAUGCCGCGUGAGUGAUGAAGGCCUUAGGGUCGUAAAGCUCUUUCGCCUGUGAUGAUAAUGACAGUAGCAGGUAAAGAAACCCCGGCUAACUCCGUGCCAGCAGCCGCGGUAAUACGGAGGGGGUUAGCGUUGUUCGGAAUUACUGGGCGUAAAGCGCGCGUAGGCGGAUUAGUCAGUUAGAGGUGAAAUCCCAGGGCUCAACCCUGGAAACUGCCUUUAAUACUGCUAGUCUUGAGUUCGAGAGAGGUGAGUGGAAUUCCCAGUGUAGAGGUGAAAUUCGUAGAUGUUCGGAGGAACACCCAGUGGCGAAGGCGGCUCACUGGCUCGAUACUGACCUUAGGUGCGAAAGUGUGGGGAGCAAACAGGAUUUAGAUCCCCUGG